rnacentral:rRNA from 1 species
UGGGUAACCUGCCUCAAAGAGGGGAAUAGCCUCCCCGAAAGGGAGAUUAAUACCGCAUAAUAUGUUUAGGUCGCAUGACUUUAACAUCAAAGGAUUUUCUUUUAGAAAUUCCACUUUGAGAUGGACCCGCGGCGCAUUAGCUAGUUGGUGAGGUAACGGCUCACCAAGGCAACGAUGCGUAGCCGACCUGAGAGGGUGAUCGGCCACAUUGGAACUGAGACACGGUCCAGCUCCGUAGGAG